GCAGGUUUCAGAAAUAUCCUCCCCUUAUGAGGCUGUAUCUUCAGGUCCUGUGAGGCCGUAUCUUCACGUCCUGUGAGGCCGUAUCUUCAGGUCCUAUGAGGCCGUAUCUUCAGGUCCUAUGAGGCCGUAUCUUCACGUCCUGUGAGGCUGUAUCUUCACAUCCUAUGAGGCUGUAUCUUCAGGUCCUAUGAGGCCGUAUCUUCAGCUCCUGUGAGGCUGUAUCUUCACAUCCUAUGAGGCUGUAUCUUCAGGUCCUAUGAGGCUGUAUCUUCACGUCCUGUGAGGCUGUAUCUUCAGGUCCUAUGAGGCCGUAUCUUUACGUCCUGUGAGGCCGUAUCUUCAGCUCCUGUGAGGCUGUAUCUUCACAUCCUAUGAGGCUGUAUCUUCAGGUCCUAUGAGGCCGUAUCUUCAGCUCCUGUGAGGCUGUAUCUUCACAUCCUAUGAGGCUGUAUCUUCAGGUCCUAUGAGGCCGUAUCUUCAUGUCCUGUGAGGCUGUAUCUUCAGG